rnacentral:rRNA from 1 species
GAUGAACGCUGGCGGCGUGCCUAAUACAUGCAAGUCGAGCGAACGGACGAGAAGCUUGCUUCUCUGAUGUUAGCGGCGGACGGGUGAGUAACACGUGGAUAACCUACCUAUAAGACUGGGAUAACUUCGGGAAACCGGAGCUAAUACCGGAUAAUAUUUUGAACCGCAUGGUUCAAAAGUGAAAGACGGUCUUGCUGUCACUUAUAGAUGGAUCCGCGCUGCAUUAGCUAGUUGGUAAGGUAACGGCUUACCAAGGCAACGAUGCAUAGCCGACCUGAGAGGGUGAUCGGCCACACUGGAACUGAGACACGGUCCAGACUCCUACGGGAGGCAGCAGUAGGGAAUCUUCCGCAAUGGGCGAAAGCCUGACGGAGCAACGCCGCGUGAGUGAUGAAGGUCUUCGGAUCGUAAAACUCUGUUAUUAGGGAAGGACAUAUGUGUAAGUAACUGUGCACAUCUUGACGGUACCUAAUCAGAAAGCCACGGCUAACUACGUGCCAGCAGCCGCGGUAAUACGUAGGUGGCAAGCGUUAUCCGGAAUUAUUGGGCGUAAAGCGCGCGUAGGCGGUUUUUUAAGUCUGAUGUGAAAGCCCACGGCUCAACCGUGGAGGGUCAUUGGAAACUGGAAAACUUGAGUGCAGAAGAGGAAAGUGGAAUUCCAUGUGUAGCGGUGAAAUGCGCAGAGAUAUGGAGGAACACCAGUGGCGAAGGCGACUUUUUGGUCUGUAACUGACGCUGAUGUGCGAAAGCGUGGGGAUCAAACAGGAUUAGAUACCCUGGUAGUCCACGCCGUAAACGAUGAGUGCUAAGUGUUAGGGGGUUUCCGCCCCUUAGUGCUGCAGCUAACGCAUUAAGCACUCCGCCUGGGGAGUACGACCGCAAGGUUGAAACUCAAAGGAAUUGACGGGGACCCGCACAAGCGGUGGAGCAUGUGGUUUAAUUCGAAGCAACGCGAAGAACCUUACCAAAUCUUGACAUCCUUUGACAACUCUAGAGAUAGAGCCUUCCCCUUCGGGGGACAAAGUGACAGGUGGUGCAUGGUUGUCGUCAGCUCGUGUCGUGAGAUGUUGGGUUAAGUCCCGCAACGAGCGCAACCCUUAAGCUUAGUUGCCAUCAUUAAGUUGGGCACUCUAAGUUGACUGCCGGUGACAAACCGGAGGAAGGUGGGGAUGACGUCAAAUCAUCAUGCCCCUUAUGAUUUGGGCUACACACGUGCUACAAUGGACAAUACAAAGGGCAGCGAAACCGCGAGGUCAAGCAAAUCCCAUAAAGUUGUUCUCAGUUCGGAUUGUAGUCUGCAACUCGGCUACAUGAAGCUGGAAUCGCUAGUAAUCGUAGAUCAGCAUGCUACGGUGAAUACGUUCCCGGGUCU